AUGGUUUCUGGGAUAGUUAUCGAUACUUUAUAUUAUGUCUUUCCUUCGUACCUCACAAAUUUCUCCACUCUCUCUUCCACCUGUCAAGAUGUCCUAUUGUUUUGUUUUGUUUUUUUAAAGACAAAAACACACACACAAUUAAAAAACACACAAACAUCAUCCAACGCCAGGUCAAUGGGAAGUCAAAGGAGAUACCACAGAGCUAUGUUUAUCCGUCUUAACGAUAGCCCACCACGGAAUUUUAAGAAAGUCGGUCUUCUCAAGUAUCUACAACUGCCAUACUAGGAAAUGUAGGGUUUUAGCCAACUUACCAAGUUUACGAAGUAACUUAUCUAUAGAACCAGAUUUAGAAUCUUGAUUUUAAAACCUUUUUGAGUUUAUGAUUUUUCCUGAUGAUUUCCAGAACGGCACUAAGCAGGGAUCUCCUCUUGGGCGAAACUGUAUUCUAUGUUCCCCGGGAGGAUGCCUCUGCCCUCCUGACCCCCUGCCUCCCCAGCUUGUCCCAGCUACCUGAGCCUGCUGGGCUCCGAGCCCCACCGAUUUCUGAUUUCUCCGAGGUCCCAAACAACCCAAGGUGUCACCUUCUCUGCCCUUAAUGCAAAGCCCUCUGCCCUCAGCGUGGACCACCCUUGUCAGGAGAUGGCAAUGAAGUCGGUUAACCUCAUUUCAUCAGCUGCGGCCAGCACGCAACAGGUGAAGGUUCGCAAGAGGCGUUUCCGGGCUUAACCGAGUCCAACUGGCAGAGUGUGCUGAGACAUUUCCUGGUGACAAAAGGUGGGCUGGAUCCCUUACAUAUUCUAGGUGACCUCCUCCCGCACGAUUUCAAGUCUGAAUGCUGAAGUGGCCACAGCGCUUGUGAACGGGGGUCCCCGCUCGACCAGGACUGGUCUACCGCUGGAGCGGGUGCUGUGCUCGGGACCGUGCGCACCUCCGCCCCACCUGCUGCGAGCUGGACCGGAAGUCAUUCACACUGCCACUAGUCCAAGACCAGCUAAAUACGCCCCUCGCUCUGAUUCUCAUAUUCCUAGGUCAUCUUUCUUCUCUUUAGUUGUAGGAGUUUUCAGUGAAUAAAAAUGACAUUAACGCAUUUCUGUAGCUCCUG
rnacentral:lncRNA from 1 species